AUGUUAUGUGUUUGCGUUAAAUCACCUUUUGCUGUAUGUGAUGCAUCUGCCUUUGCUGCAUCUCUUUCAUUGACUGCUUUGGAACAUAUCUUUAUGAAAUAUAGAAAAAAAAAGUUUAUUCUUUUUCUAAUUCGCUCUCUCUCUUCCUCCUCCAGGACGGAUGGCAGACGCUGGUCUCUGGCCUCCCUGCCUUCCUCUGGCUAUGGUACCAACACUCCCAGCUCCACUGUCUCGUCCUCCUGUUCAUCUCAGGAGAAACUGCACCAGCUGCCCUUCCAGCCCACGCCGGACGAGCUGCACUUCCUCACCAAACACUUCAGCUCAGAGAGCAUCACAGACGAGGAGGGACGCCGCUCCCCCGCCAUGAGACCGCGCUCCCGCAGCCUCAGCCCGGGACGCUCCCCCAUCUCCUUUGACCAUGAGAUUGUUAUGAUGAACCAUGUGUACAAGGAGAGGUUCCCUAAGGCGACGGCUCAAAUGGAGGAGCGACUGGCUGAGCUGCUCUCCUCCUCGGCCCCAGAGAAAGUCUGCCCACUGGCCGACGGGGUCCUGAGCUUCAUCCACCAUCAGCUGAUAGAGCUGUCAAGAGACUGCCUGGAGAAAAGCAGAGAGGGCCUCAUCACUUCUCGCUACUUCUACGAGCUCCAGGAGAAUCUGGAGAAGCUGCUGCAAGAUGCUCACGAGCGCUCAGAGAGUGUGGAGGUUACCUUUGUCACACAACUUGUAAAGAAACUGAUGAUCAUCAUUGCCCGGCCUGCACGCCUGCUGGAGUGUCUGGAGUUUGAUCCUGAGGAAUUUUACCACUUGUUGGAAGCAGCAGAGGGCCAUGCCAAGGAGGGCCAGGGCAUCAAGUCCGACAUCCCCAGAUACAUCAUCAGCCAGCUGGGCCUUACCAGGGACCCCCUGGAGGAGACCCGGCAGCGUUUCGCCAUGAAGAAGAUCAACAAACAGAACCUGAUUCUGAGAAACCAGAUCCAGCAGGCCUUUGUGGAACGAGACAUCCUGACGUUUGCUGAGAACCCGUUUGUCGUCUCUAUGUUCUGUUCUUUUGAGACUAGGAGGCACCUCUGCAUGGUGAUGGAGUAUGUAGAGGGUGGAGACUGUGCCACGCUGCUGAAGAAUAUUGGAGCCCUGCCGGUCGAUAUGGCUCGUAUGUACUUUGCAGAGACCGUCCUCGCAUUAGAGUAUCUUCAUAAUUAUGGCAUCGUCCACAGAGACCUUAAACCAGACAAUCUUCUCAUCACUUCGAUGGGACACAUUAAGCUGACAGACUUUGGUCUGUCUAAGAUUGGUUUGAUGAGUUUGACGACAAACCUGUAUGAAGGACACAUUGAGAAAGACACCAGAGAAUUCCUGGAUAAGCAGGUGUGUGGCACCCCAGAGUACAUCGCCCCAGAGGUGAUUCUACGUCAAGGCUACGGGAAACCGGUGGACUGGUGGGCGAUGGGAGUCAUCCUGUACGAGUUCCUGGUGGGCUGCGCUCCCUUCUUCGGAGACACACCAGAGGAACUGUUUGGGCAGGUCAUCAGUGAUGAGAUUAUGUGGCCUGAGGAGGAUGAAGCUCUGCCUCAGGAGGCUCAGGAUCUCAUCUCCAAACUGCUAAGACAAAACCCCCUGGAGCGACUGGGCACAGGAAGUGCCUAUGAGGUGAAGCAGCACCCAUUCUUCACAGAGCUGGACUGGAACAGCCUGCUGAGACAGAAAGCAGAAUUCAUCCCCCAGCUGGAGUCUGAGGACGACACCAGCUACUUUGACACUCGGUCUGAUCGGUACCACCACGUCGAUUCAGAGGAAGAAGACGACACCAACGAUGAUGAACACGUGGAGAUUCGGCAGUUCUCCUCCUGCUCACCUCGCUUCAGCAGUGGAAAAACACCUAAUCUGACCCCCCCCCCACUCACUUUUAUUCCUCCAUCCUCUGUCAAUGCAGCCGGCAGCUCAGGCGACGUGUCUGACCGCGCUAAUGGUGGCAAUGGCAGCAACGGUGGUACGGGUGGGGCUGCUAAAAGUGCAGCCGACAGUGACUCUCCAUCGACUCCAAAGGCCAUCAGUGACCUGGCUGCUCGCAGGGCUCGCCAUCGGCUGCUGUCAGGAGACACGGACAAGCAUACCACAACGCCGAGCUCCAGACCGCUGAACAAGGUCAUCAAGUCAGCGUCCGCCACCACCCUGUCUCUGAUGAUCCCCUCAGGUCAGUCCAGCCCAAUGUCACCCCACUCGUUAUCUUCCAACCCAUCAUCACGAGACUCUUCUCCAAGCCGAGACCUGUCCCCUGCCGUGAGCAGCAUCAAACCUGCCAUCAUCAUCCACAGAGCGGGAAAGAAGUACGGAUUCACAUUAAGAGCCAUCCGCGUCUAUAUGGGAGACUCUGACAUCUACACGGUGCACCACAUGGUCUGGCAUGUGGAGGGGGGCGGUCCAGCCCAUGAAGCCGGGCUGAGGGAGGGCGAUCUGAUCACUCAUGUCAACGGAGAGCCGGUCCACGGUCUGGUUCACACUGAGGUGGUGGAGCUCAUACUGAAGAGCGGUGCCAAAGUGUCCAUCUCUGCCACCCCGUUUGAGAACACGUCCAUCAAAGUCGGCCCUGCCCGAAAAACAAGCCACAAAUCCAAGAUGGCGCGACGCAACAAGAAGACCAAGAACAAGGAGGGACAAGACAGGUGGGGCACACACCUGAAGAUCACCAAGCAGGCGUCUCUCCUCCACACCAGCCGCAGUCUUUCUUCUCUAAACCGCUCUUUGUCCUCUGGGGAGAGUGGACCCGGCUCACCAACACACAAUCUGUCACCACGGAGCCCAACACAGGGCUACAGGUCCAUACCUGACUCUGCCCACUCAGUUGGUGGAAACUCAUCUCAGAGCAGCUCCCCCAGCUCUAGCGUCCCAAACUCCCCGGCAAGUUCUGGCCACAUCCGCCCCAGCUCCCUGCACGGUCUCGCCCCGAAGCUCCAGCGUCAGUACCGCUCUCCACGACGCAAGUCUGCUGGCAACAUCCCCCUCUCCCCUCUGGCCCGCACACCUUCACCCACACCUCAGAGCAGCUCACCUCAGCGCUCACCCUCCCCGCUGCCUAGCCACAGUCUGGGACAGGCUGCUGUGGGCCAGUCAUUCCCUGUGAAGCUCCACUCCUCCCCUCCCCUGGUGAGGCAGAUAUCCAGACCUAAAAGUGCAGAGCCUCCUCGUUCACCACUUCUCAAGAGGGUGCAGUCUGCUGAGAAACUGGCUGCCUCCCUAUCUAACUCCCCCUCAUCCUCCUCUGGAGUCACAGCAGCAGGCGAAAAGAAGCUGCCAGUGGGAGCAGCUGUGGGGAGUCGUAAACACAGCCUGGACAUCUCACAUUCAGAGUUUAAGAAGGAGAUUCUGCAGAGGGAGCCGAGCCUGCAGAGCCUUCAGGUAACAGUCUGA
rnacentral:lncRNA from 1 species